AGCUGCUCAGUGUUCGUACAGUCUCAUGCAGAGAGCGUGGAGGUGUUGUCCAUGGUGGAUGCUAGCCUAGACAACAUCCUCUCCUCCCCAGUCUGCUCAGUGGACUUUAGCAGACCGUUCCAGGACAGAGCUGGCCCUCCUGACCAGUUUGUUAAGUUUCCCCCUGCCCCUCUCUGCCAUUCCACAACUCCAGCAGACCACAGCAUAAAAGACAGCAGACGCCACCACAGUGUCGUAGAACAUCCUUAGCAGACAUACUACACAGUAAAAAAUGGAGAGUCAAUAUUUCAGUGUAAACCCAUUUUAACCUAGAGAGAGUAUUUACAACUCUGUGAGGAGUAAACCAGCUCUAACGUCAGAGUUAAAAGUCAGUGUAAAGUUCUAUAGACACGGAGUGAAGACAACUCCACACAGUGUUGAUUAGUACCAGUCUGCAUGCGCGGUCUCAGAGCUGUGUGACACAUGUGGAAUUUUCUCUGAAGAGCUGCCACAGUCAGAAUAUGUUGCUGCGUGUUUUGUUUGGUGGGGAGCAGAAGUAUGUUAGGCUGUCUGACCUGAGAUUUGAUGCUUUCAUGAAAGAAGUGUGCCUAAAAUUUAACAUACCAGAAGGCAGACAGCUAGAGGUGUUUGAAGAAAUAGUGAAGGGGUCACCUGGAACCUUCCGAGUCCUGCUGAGCAAUGAAGAACUUGGUGCAUCUCUAUCAUCAUCAUCUUCUCCAUCUGAUGAUACAGUCAUUCUAGACUUCACAAUGUGUGACCCUCCAGAAGAAGCAGCCACCACUGAAGGAAGACAACCUAAAAGGCCAUGCCAUAUAAACUAUGAGGCAAAAGCUGUGGGUAGUGAACAUUGUUAG
rnacentral:lncRNA from 1 species